UUAAGCAAUGAUGUAGUUCCCCUUCCCCGUGCUCCAGGGUGGCAUUUAAGUCAGCAAGGGUGGCAUUCUUUCCAGUGUGAAUGCAGUCAGCAGGAUUUUCUACGUAAAUAAUUUACUCUAUAAAGUACCUGUAUUAACAUGUCACUGUCAAAUCACUUUGUGUGGUAGGGUAAGAUCACUGCCUUAAAUAUGGUAGCUUAGUUCACAACUAUUUUAAGCAGUCUUAAAGGACUUUAGAAUUUUGGCUGCCGUCAUAGGCUCCUUGAAGGUCACUCUAAGUGAUGGCUGCAGUGGAAAAUUUCCUCUCUGUGACCUACGGGAAAAUUUUAAGCAAGGAGGUCAUGAAAUCACUCUUAUUUCAAUGCAAUCCAGGCAAAGAUUUAUUCGUAAGGUUCGGGAAAAUGACUAGAGAAAUGAUUCCCUGUUGGGAGAAAGGGGACCCCCACUCCUCAGAUAGGAUUAUUUAGACUCUUACAUUUCCUUCCCUCUCAUAGGAAAAUGUAAGAGGAUUAAAGUAAAGAUCCUAUAAUCUAACAUUUAGCUUUAUUCACUUUCAUAUCUUUUUUUCUUACAUGUCCUCCUGCAACGUAAAUGGUGAACACAGACUGCCUGAGCUGAUAUGCUUUUCCUCUGUCUUUGAACUCUGCUAACGGGCCCCAGAAAGUAGAAACAUUCUGACUUUUUGGAUAUUUCAGAUCAGUGUAGUUAAAUAAUAGAGUUGGUAAGCAGAAAAAAGUGGCCAGUCCAACUGAGGGAAAAAAAACCCCAAACUCAAGAUUUCUUCAGAUAAAAAAUGAAAGAGUCUGAGGAGUUAAGGCCACGAAUUAAGCUAGCACUUCUUGCAAGCCAAGCGCAACAGGGUCUGACUUUAUUAUUGUCUCUGGAAGUCUCCCCUUUGAACUAAAGGAAAAUGAGGGCUAGAACCUGGGUGUGAGAAGACUGAAGAAACCAAAGGAAAGGAUGGGGUAGUGUUUGCAAAGGGAGAUGGUUGAGGCUGGGAGCUGAUGGCUUUCAUUGGUUGAGGAGCUCUAAAGAACUAGGGUAAGUCUCUGAGUCACAACCAGAUGGAAUGAGGUGUACACUGCUCUGAGUCUGCCUCGCCGUGUUAGGUGUUAACACCAAAGUGCCAAAGAGCUGCCUGUACUUGGGCUCUGGAAGGCUGGAUGAGGUGGACUUGUGCCCAUGUUCAAGUCCUCCCACCAAGGUGGCGUGCAGGGAAGCCCUUAGGGCACAGGGAAUCAUGGCAGAGAAGUGCUGUACUGUGAGAGAUUUGUCACACAUUCCCACCUGGCUACCAAAUGUGUUCUCUGCUGUGAUGUUUUUUUUAUGUGUUAUGGGGUAUGGCUUCCCUCUGAUUGUCACUAUUUUGUCAAGUCAUGAUAGAAAUAGAAGGGCUUUCCAAAAUAUUUUCCUGUUUUUUUUUUAUGCUUUCAGCAGCCUGGAAGUGCCACACUACGAAUAGAGCAGUGGAUGGUUAUGUCUGUCUUAAAGAAAUGCAGUAGUGGGAAAUAGUGCCACCUGCAUACUUGAAAAUAUGUUGUCAUGCUGCACAAGCUUGUAACUCAGGACAUGUUUUAGGCUGUGGUAGGAGUGCAGACACUGUUUGUUGUUUGAUUCCAGUUGCUGCAUCUGGCUUUCAAGCAAGUAAAUUGAAAGAUGGAUGCUUUUGUGAUUAUAGCAAUGUUGUUUGAUCCAUGGGUUAUAUGGAGGAAGUAGAGAGAGAGUUCAUGAUAUCUACCAGCAGAAAGCUUUCAGAGUCCUUGAGCAGAGACAUUUUGUCCCGUGUGAGCAGAAUUGCUUUGGUGCAAAGAGGAAAGCUUUGCAAGGUGGAGGAGUGAUUUGGAGGCUGUCUGCUGUUUACUGAAAAGCUGUUCCUGAGAACUCAUUGUGGUUGCACAUGGCUGAGGAAAACUUCACAAGACUGAGCAUUUACUUAAGAGACAUGCUAAAAAAGCGCUGAAGACCAUUUCCACAUGUGGGUGGUGAAUGUAGUUGCAUCAGCUGUAAGAAGGAUUCAUACAGCUGGCAGUAAAAGCAAACAGAUCCUUGAUAUUGCUGGGUGGGCACGAAGGUGAACUGAGGAACCAUGGAGGAAAGGGCUAUGUGCUCCACAGUGCUGCCUGACCCAUGCUCUUCUUCUCUGAUCCAUCCCUCUGCUUGAAGCAGAGUGUAUUUAGUGCAGUUAUUGUGUGCUACUUCAGCCUGGGAGAGCUGGGCUUGGAGACUCUUAUCUCUAUUUUUAGUGCUUUUUGUCCUUUCUUAUUGACAUUUUCCCUAAUGUGCACAUCUUCAGAUCAUUUGGUUUCCUUCUAUUGGUAAGAAUUGGAUAGCAUCCCACCAAAUAGUCUGUCGGCUGCUCAGUUUCCCACAUAGUCUUCUAUGCAAGUGUCUGCACAGUUUUUAGAGGAGGAGUACACUUUCAAAGCAAGAAUGAAUGUAAGUGCCUAAGUGUACAAAUUGUACAUAGCAGAUCACACUAUUUAUAUCAUGCUGCACCUGUGGAGCCUUUGUGAAUGCACAUUCAUUAAACCAGCAUGAUUACUUGUUAAAAAGAGCUCCUCUUAAUGACAGCCUUUGCUUACUAAACUGAAAAAAGGAAAAAAUGUGCAAAUUAAUACUGAUCUUUGCUUAAUGUACUCUGCUAUGCUUGCAGUAAGAUUAUUAUGUGUUCCAACUGCACUGCUGAUUUUAAAAUUAAUUUUACUUAGCUGAUGGAUGCAUAUUCUAUACUAAAAUAUCUGGAUAUUUUGUAGUCUUAACGGUAUUCCAGAAACACCUUUAGUGAACUGACAGACAAGUAGAUUAUGUAGUGAUAAAUUUCCCUUUCAGUUGCAUCAGAGAGCUGCUUCUCCUUUUCUCAGACCAAAAAUCUGAGAAUUUCACGUGCUACAAGAAAACAGGUGAAUCGCGACUGAGGUUUUGAACUGCCAAUUCUGUUCUAUAAAUGGGAAAGACUGUGCUACCAGGUUUAACACACUCAGAUGAUGCUCCUCAUCCCCUUCAAGUUGAUAUUAGACUGGAAAACAGCCUUCUGUUGCUCUACUGUACCUCUCUAGGUGCUGCUACUGAUGCAGGCUGAUGUAAUGUUGAGCAAUUCUCUUUCCUAAUUUAUAUCAUAAAUUUAUAGAUGGAGGUGAUGGUACCCUCUUUUUACAAGCAUUUUGUAUUCUGAGUAUGGAACACAAAAUGCAGUUUCUAAUACAACUCUAUUUCUUAGAAGGCAGUUUUGAAUAAUAAGGUGUAAAUGAACCCAGAGGCAGAAAGGCUGAGAAAGAAUUGGAAUUGCAGAAGUUUUUGGCAUGUAAUUGCAUUGCCGUACAAGGAGGGCUGUGGUUCACCCAGGUAAUUAUUCCACAAAAUGCUGGGGUUGUGCAUGCAGCUUUCAUAGUGGUGAAACCUCUGUUUUCUCUCAGUAAUCCAAGCAUUAAAACAGACAUAAUACUUUUUUCCUUUUCUUCUUUGUUGUUUUUAGUAGCGCAGCUUCAUUAGCGCACACCUUUAUUAGUGCAGCUUCCUUGCCAAAUGACCAUUGGUAGUAUAGCACCAUUUAAAGAUUGCACUGGAUUCUGUAUUUUUGUCUGUCUCCACUGCUUCAGAAUUGUUUUUUACAGCUUGAGUUACCUGAAAAGCCAGAGCUUCAGGAUUAAUUGCCUUUUCAGUGGUUGUGUCUUCCUUGCAAUUGUGUCUUACAAACUACAGUUGGAAAGUUGACUGAAUGUUUGACUGUCGAAGUAGCACUCCCCAUUAAGAUGUGAUGUGUCAUCAGGUGAUAGGGCGGGGAGACAGGGUGGUCACAUGCUGGUGGUACUUGACUUGUGAGUAUUACUGAUGUUGGCAAGGCUUUUCCAAAGAAGACGACUGUGCGAAGUUUUCUAAAGAUGGACAGGUUUAGAUCUGCCUGCUGUCCUCUGACAGAGGUUUUCCCUGUCCUCUGCAAUCAAGAGGCUUGAUAAUGGUGUUAACACUAGUGAAUCCACUGUGGCUUGUUGCAUCGUCUCCACCAGGGUCACAGUUCUGGUGCUUACUAAUAUAUUCAGUGGUUUUCUUCAAAGAUGGAGCUGCUUCUCCUAAGGUGUAAUUGCUUCAAGGUAGCCACUGACUUCAAGCUUCUGAGGUCAGCUCCUGGGAACAGUUCCUAAAAGUUCCUUUUUAGAAUUGUGUGUGGGUUUUGAUGGACCUCUUUGUACUGUAGAAUUCUUGCAGCUCCGUCAGCUCUAUUAAGCCAUGAUUAAUGGAAAGAUACACUUUCGAGGUUGUCUACUCCAUGUCCUCCUCUUGUAAAAUUGCGGUCUGUAUGCCAAGUGACUGACGCUAGAGCAGUAGCUGCCAAAUACCUGUCCUUUGUAUCAAGUGUUGGCUUUUUCUGUGUUUGGUAGUUACCACCAAAUUGUUAUGGAAUAAAAAAAACCCUCUCAUAUGACA